ACGAGUUCACACUCGUGGCACAUAGCUCAGUAACACGUGGCCAAGCUACCCUUCAGUCAGCAAUACCCUCGGGAAACUGAGGCUAAUAGCUGAUACGAAACAGACGCUGGAAUGCACUGUAUUCCAAAGACACCGCUGAAGGAUGCGGCUGCGGCCGAUUAGGUAGACGGUGGGGUAACGGCCCACCGUGCCAGUAAUCGGUACGGGUGAUGAGAGUCAGAGCCCGGAGACGGAAUCUGAGACAAGAUUCCGGGCCCUACGGGGCGCAGCAGGCGCGAAACCUUUACACUGCACGAAAGUGCGAUAGGGGAAUCCCAAGUGCGAGGGCAUAUUAGCCCUCGCUUUUGUUGACUCUAAGGCGGUCAACGAAUAAGAGCUGGGCAAGACCGGUGCCAGCCGCCGCGGUAAUACCGGCAGCUCAAGUGAUGUCCCAUAUUAUUGGGCCUAAAGCGUCCGUAGCUGGCCGCCCAAGUCCAUCGGGAAAUCCACCUGCCCAACAGGUGGGCGUCCGGUAGAAACUGGCCGGCUUGGAACCGGAAGGCUCAGAGAGUACGUCCGGGGUAGGAGUGAAAUCCCGUAAUCCCGGACGGACUACCGAUGGCGAAAGCACUCUGAGAAGACGGCUUCGACAGUGAGGGACGAAAGCUCGGGUCUCAAACCGGAUUAGAUACCCGGGUAGUCCGAGCCGUAAACAAUGCUCGUUAGGUGUGGCACCCACUACGAGUGGGUGCUGUGCCGCAGGGAAGCCGCUAAACGAGCCGCCUGGGAAGUACGUCCGCAAGGAUGAAACU
rnacentral:rRNA from 1 species